GACAGAGGUGCCGAGCGUUAGGCGGAAUCACUGGGCUUAAAGCGUGUGUAGGCGGGCGGGCAAGUACCUUGUGAAAUCCCCCGGCUCAACCGGGGAACGGGCGUGGAUACGGCUUGUCUGGAGGGGCGUAGGGGGACCUGGAACUUCCGGUGGAGCGGUGAAAUGCGUUGAGAUCGGAAGGAACGCCCGUGGCGAAGGCGGCUACCUGGACCAGCACUGACACUGAGGCACGAAAGCGUGGGGAGCAAACAGG
rnacentral:rRNA from 1 species